GCAUAAGCAUGAUUAUUCCUCUGAUGAUGAGCAUAGGCAUUCUCGGCAUGGGCAUGAACAUGAUACUUCUUCUGAUAACAAGCACAAGCACUCUCGUCGCAAGCGCAAGCGCAAGCACAGUAGUGUCUUAGAUGAUGAACAUAAGCACUCUCGACAUAGAAGCAAGGGCGGCAACUCUUCUAUCGAACAUUAUCAAUAUGAGCAUAAGCAUUGUAGCUCCUCAGAUGAUGAGGAUCUGCAUCACAGAAAAUCUGUUAGGCAUGUGAAGAAAACUAUCUUGGAAAGAGAAGCUGACUUGGAAGAAGGGGAGAUCCUUACAAAAUCAG
rnacentral:lncRNA from 1 species